rnacentral:lncRNA from 1 species
UCCACGCGUCGUCCACACCCCAUUCAACGUGCAAGACAAGCGACAAUAAACAAUGCAUCUUUAUGUGGCUCUUUUACAGCUUGGAUUUCCAGUUUGUACAACUGAACAAAACAGAUGAAGCUUAUCUGCACUAUAACGAAUUCAGCGUCACUAUUGGUCACGGUAGGUAUCUUGAAAUGUUACCUUUAGGUACACUGCUACUGUAGAUGCUGAAUUAACUUUAGUACUUUGUUUAGUGCACCGAAUAAUAUGUGUAAUGCUGAAUAAUAUUAGGAUUUCGUAAUUUAUACAAAAAGGUGGCUUUACUAAGAUGCCCCAGCGUGUGUAGUGCUUCCAGAACAUGUGCAUGUUCUCGAUCAGCGAACGAAGGUUCCCAAUUCAAUGUGCCCAAUUGCGCCUGUACGUGCGUGCGUCAAUGUGAACUGACGUAUGCACGUACCUUAAGUUAAGCGCGCCUUACAAAGAUCUAUGGCGCACGCGAUGGCUUACCUCUAUGAAUAACUGCACACCAACGCUAUUUUGUUUGCGCAAAAGUAAGUACCUACUUUUUUUUCCUUUGUUACGCCACGUUUAUUUUUCUUUAAUAUCAACUGCACAUGCAUUAUUUUCCAGGGACAGGAGUACGUCGUGAAGUCAAUCAAGCUAUAUACACGGACUAUAAGCACUGCAUUCUCUUUUGGACCUCGAAGUUGGGCUAUCAAGUCUGGGUAGAAUCAGAGUACCUGAAGACAAAAGGAAAAGUGCCUUCACUGUGCUCGUUCUUAUACGAGUUGUUAGCGCCAGGCAAAUGACACGUGGUUUACACACGGGAGGAGUGCAUUUUGUAAACAUCGGAGAAAAGGCUAUAAAUUGUGGGGGUUCUCUUUUCUUUCUCGUACAAUUUCUCGGAAACCUCAUAUUUGUGAGAAGACUACCAGGAAACGAUGUGUUUUCUAAGAAGUCGGAGGGAAAUUCAUUCAUCAAAACAACCUUUCAUGCACCUGUAGAAGAUAUUGCAUAAUAAAUGCUUUUUAGAAAGCGCGA